AGGGUGAACGCUGGCGGCGUGCUUAAGACAUGCAAGUCGAACGGGAAGAGCUUGCUCUUCUAGUGGCGCACGGGUGAGUAACGCGUAACUGACCUACCUCCAAGUUCAGCAUAACGUCUCGAAAGAGACGCUAAUUCUGAAUGUGAUCCCGGAUCGUGUUCCGUGAUUAAAGAAUUUCGCUUGGAGAUGGGGUUGCGUUCCAUCAGCUAGAUGGUGGGUAAAGGCCUACCAUGGCGACGACGGA
rnacentral:rRNA from 1 species